GGCAAGGACUGGAGAGAACUGAGCAGAAGACACCUGGACAUAUUUUAGACUUUGGAGAUCUGGCAGCUGCUGCUAUGACUUUCUCACACUUGUCUAGAGACUGUUCAUUCAUGACCUGCAGUAAUGGAAACCUGACUAACACAACCAGAGAUCAAAAAGUGACUGAUGAAGAUCCCUGGACCACACCCCACCUCCGGGUUUGACAACAAGGAGCCUCAAAGUCAGACAUCAUAGCAGCAAUCUACAAGGUGCCCAUGUGCUGGCAUUUGGAAAUGCCUACUCCUAAAAGACAAAACUACUUUGGUCAUGACCUCAGAACUUCCUGCAUCAUGGGUCUGCCCUGAAUCAGCUGACAGCUUAUCUCUGCAGUGACAAAAGGGCUCUAAAGAUUAAAAUCAGCGGAUUUUUUUUGUGUGUGUGUGCCCGUGGACUUUUGACUUUUUUCUUUACUUUGAAUUCUUCCUGCUUUUUGAAAAGAAUAACCCAUCUCCGAUGGGGAAAUGAAAAUAAAAAGGUGUUCCAACUUCA